rnacentral:rRNA from 1 species
AUUAACAGGAUUAGAUACCCUGGUAGUCCACGCCCUAAACGAUGUCUACUAGUUGUCGGGUCUUAAUUGACUUGGUAACGCAGCUAACGCGUGAAGUAGACCGCCUGGGGAGUACGGUCGCAAGAUUAAAACUCAAAGGAAUUGACGGGGACCCGCACAAGCGGUGGAUGAUGUGGAUUAAUUCGAUGCAACGCGAAAAACCUUACCUACCCUUGACAUGUACAGAAUCCCGAAGAGAUUUGGGAGUGUUCGAAAGAAAACUGUAACACAGGUGCUGCAUGGCUGUCGUCAGCUCGUGUCGUGAGAUGUUGGGUUAAGUCCCGCAACGAGCGCAACCCUUGUCAUUAGUUGCUACGAAAGGGCACUCUAAUGAGACUGCCGGUGACAAACCGGAGGAAGGUGGGGAUGACGUCAAGUCCUCAUGGCCCUUAUGGGUAGGGCUUCACACGUCAUACAAUGGUACAUACAGAGGGCCGCCAACCCGCGAGGGGGAGCUAAUCCCGGAAAGUGUAUCGUAGUCCGGAUUGUAGUCUGCAACUCGACUACAUGAAGUUGGAAUCGCUAGUAAUCGCGGAUCAGCAUGUCGCGGUGAAUACGUUCCCGGGUCUUGUACACACCGCCCGUCACACCAUGGGAGCGGGUUUUACCAGAAGUAGGUAGCCUAACCGUAAGGAGGGCGCUUACCACGGUAGGAUUCGUGACUGGGGUGAAGUCGUAACAAGGUAACCGUA